UGAAACUGCCGCUUCGGCGGUUGUUGUAGCUCUGCUGUAGCAAGGAGAAUUUCAUUUUUCGUGGCUCUCUUUCUCUCUCUAAAGUGGUAGAGUUUAGUUUAGAGAGAGAAAGGGGGGGAUUUGUGAGAUGAGAAGGAAAGGAGAGGUGUUUGUUGAGUUUGUUUGAAGCUUGCUUAGGUGUGCUUCUAUUUUUAUUUUAUUUUUUUUAGGAAGAAGACGAAGUAGAAGAGAGAUUUCUUUGAAUUGAAACUGAAGAAAGAAUUUGUUGGUUGGUUUUGAUUUUUUAUUAUUAUUACUAUUAUUAUUUUUUAUUAUUGUUGUUGCAGCUGUUGCUGUCUUGCUACCUAAAGACAGUGAGUGGACACCGAUGAGAAGGAAGGGGGAGCGGUCAUGAUUAGGGGAGUUGGAUUAGUUAAUUGUUUCGUUUAGGACAAUUAGUUAUUUUUUGGCUUAAUUUUUGGGAUCCAGUAAAUACUACUCCUAUCUGUUUACAUUUACUUAUUUCUUUUUUUAUUUUUUACUUACUUAAAUUGAAGCACUAACUGAUUAUUUUCACUAAAAAUAACUAUCAUUUUCUCCUAAGUAAAUUAAUUUCUUUUAAAAAUGGGAACACAAAGGCUAAUUGAGCUGAUUAUUCACCUUUGACUUCAAAGUUGUCACCAACAGAGGUCAAUUUACACGAUUGUGAGGGGUGGAGGGGGGGGAUUAAUUUCUUAACCAAUAAAAAAAUUAAACAUACGCUUUUUGAUAUAUUUAUUUAUGUAAAAUAUAUCAAAUAAAAAUUAAAACUUUUAUGCACACAUUUAAUUAAACAAAUCAAAAUCACCUACGCAAACAAAUAAAAAAAUAUUAUUAAUAAUAACUAAAUAUAUAUUUGGAAAAGUCAAGAAAUGGAUGUAAAUGAAUAUAUUUAAUAUCAUAAUACGGUCUAUUUACACGAUUGUGUUUAAUGACUCUGUUUAUUAAAAUUAUUUUUUAUUUAAUUACAUGAUGGUAAAAAUAAACACAUAUAAAAAUAAUUUAAUAAAAUCAAGGGAAAUCGAUAUCAUAAAACAGUCUAUUUACACGAUUAUGUUUAAUGACUCUGUUUAUUAAAAUUAUUGAAUAAAAUCAAAAGGGAAAAAUAUAUCACAAUAUUGCACUUAUUAGAAAUACUAUCAAAAAGUAAAUAUUUUUUUCAUUUUAAAAAUAAAUUUUAAUUAUAUAAAACAUAAAAAAUUAUAAAUGAAUUAGAAAAAUCUAUUAAAAAAUAAAAUACCUAUAAAAUACUUAAAAAAACAACCACUGUAUUUUUUUAAAAUACUAAAUACAGAAUAAAAAAAUCAUAGAGAAAAGAUAUUAAUUUAAAUAUAAAUUAAGAAAACAUUUAGAAAAAAACACAUGUAAAAAAGCAUGAUUUUUUUCAAAAAACCAAAAUUACCAAAAAAGAAGAAGACGAAGAAAGAGUUAAGACGCAUGACCUGUUUAAGAGGGAUCGUGCAUGGGCUUGCAAAGGUAGAUCUAAGUGUGGGCCUUUAAAAAAAAAUGUAAUUGGGGCGAACGAUAAUAAUGGUUUUUGAACAAAAAUAAGUGUAAUGCUUAAUUUAAUUCAGUUGAUCGUUAUGGUGAUUGGAAAAUAUUUUUUUAUCCUAAUUUUUACUCAAAAACACCUAGAAAACACACUAUAGAAAUCUUGAUAAAUCCAUCUAUAACCUCAAAAACUCAACAACAACAAAAUCUCAAAACCCGAAAAAAAAAAUUUCUCAGGCUCAUAUAUGUUUUUUUAGGCGCUUAAGGUAAAAAAUAAAAAUAAACAUCUAAGUUGAACUUCUUUCAUCAAAUGAAAUUAUUUGACACGGAGAUCGGUCAUUUUAGUAGCUUGAAUUGGUGUCAAUAAUAUUUUUUUCUCUCUAACGCUGAAAUCUAGGGAUCUCUCCCUCUCUCCUCUCUCAAAACUAAAAACUAAAAAAUAAUAAAAAUAAACUUUUUAUACUAAAUUUGAAUUGAAAAAAUAUUGAGGUACUGAACAUGUAUAAUUUGUAAAGUUUGAGGACUAAUUAAAACUUUUUGUAUGAACUUUUAGACCAUCACUCAUUUAUAAUGUCUUUUCUUAUUUGGUCCUUUGUCUUUUAAUUUUUUUCAUUGGUCAACAAAUUUGAUUUGAAUUGUCCUUGAAUUUGGCCCGAAAAUGAUGUAAUUCCACAAAAAAAGUUUGAUGAUCAAAUUAAAAAUGAAUAAAUAAUGGAUCUACAGUAAAAUGUGAGAGGAUGAAUAAUGCAUGUGCAUACAAUGUUUUGGCCAUAUCGUUUAUAUUUUUACUAGUUAUUUGAUUUGUACUUCUUUGUGGAUUGAAUAUCUUUUUUGGAAAAAAGAAAAAUAAAUAUGCAAUGCUUUUAAAUGCGUUUUUUCCGAUAAAAAUCAUAAUUAUAAAUCAAAAAGUCUAUGCAUACAUUUAAUUAAAUAAAUCGAGAACUAUUUGUGCCAAUAAAAAAAAUGUUAAUGGGUUUGCAUGACAAAUUAUUUGUGCCAAUAAAAAAAAUGUUAAUGGGUUUGCAUGACAAAUUAUUUUUCUAAUGCAAAUAAACUAAUAUAUAGAUGUUAUUAACAUGUUUUUUUGACAGGGAGUAAAAAACAUAAUCGUGAAUCAAAAAGUCAAUACUUGUAUAUAAUAAAAUAUAGUGAAAAUCAUAUGUUUUAAUAAAACAAAAUCUAUAAGAUCUCAAGUUUAUUUUCAAUGUAGUAGAAAAAUUGAACAAUGUUGAAAAACUAUAAAGAAAAAAAAACAAAUAAAAAUAAGAAAAAAAUAAUGAUAAAUAAGCUAAGUAUAAAAUGAUAAAAAUAUCAAAUAUAACGAGAAAAAAUAUAUAAAAAGCUUGUUUUCUAAAAAGAAACCCAUGAAAAUAUAGUGAAAAUCAUAUGUUUUAAUAAAACAAAAUCUAUAAGAUCUCAAGUUUAUUUUCAAUGUAGUAGAAAAAUUGAACAAUGUUGAAAAACUAUAAAGAAAAAAAAACAAAUAAAAAUAAGAAAAAAAUAAUGAUAAAUAAGCUAAGUAUAAAAUGAUAAAAAUAUCAAAUAUAACGAGAAAAAAUAUAUAAAAAAGCUUGUUUUCUAAAAAGAAACCCAUGAAAAUUAUAGAUUUACCACAACAGUAGUAAAACAAUUGAAGAAAAUUCCAAUAGUGACAUUUUUAUCAUGAAAAACCAUUUAUAAAAUAAAAUAAUUAAUAUUAAUAUUCUAAUCUUAGAUAGUCAAUUUCCUAUUGAUUUUAACUCAAGGUUCGUUGGAAUCCAGUUAGGUCAAUAGUCAGUAGGGAAGGUGAGUCGUCAAAUUAAAAUUGGUAAGCAUGUUGAAAAGGUCAUGAAAACAUAGGGUUUCUAUCUAGUAUGAAAUCAACCACCUGCAACUCACCGAAUAAUGAUCAAAAGCAAGUUUUGUAUGGUACGAUGAAAUGGGUUAUCACUUUCAGAUGUUGUGAUUUUCUAUGAACCAUUACAAAUUAUAAUUACUCCUUAUAUUUCUGGUGCUAUUAGCCUUUUAUAGGAUAAAAAAUAUAUGUAAUUGACUAUUAAAUAUUUUUAAAGAAUAUAUAUUUAUAAUACAUUAUUCUUCCAUAUAGCGCAGUCAUUAAAGAAUAAAGUAACAUGAUUUAGUUGCCCAAAUGUGGAUAAUACAUUAUUCUUCCAUAAGACAAAACGUAAAUCUAAAAUUAUUUUCCCAUGAUUAUUUUUAAAAAUAUUUUUAAAAAAUAAUACAUUAAUAUAUUUUUUUUAUUUUUUAAAAAUUAUUUUUUACAUCAAACACAAUCUAAAGACAUAUGAAAUUAAUGUUAAACAAAAAAAAUUAUAAUAUAAUUAAAAAUCAUUUGCAAACACUAUUAUUUGAGACCAAAAAGAAAUCAAAGAUCCUAAUUGGGACCAAAAGCCGGCUUCCUCAGUGGAGUACGAAGGAGAUAAAAGGAUAGUUGGGUUGGUUAUGAAGGUUGUUUAGCUUUCCAUCACCUAAAUUCAUUUGUUUUCUUGGCAGUUUCACAACCCGUCUACGCUUUCUUAGGGCGGUGGUUUACACAAAUCUAGCCCUCCUUGCUAUUUGCUAGCUAUAUGUUUUAGAAUUAAGGCUCUGAAAAAAAUAAUAUGAUUAAUUGAGUUUUAUUUAAAAGUAUUUUAAUAGUUGACUAUAAGAGAUUGAUAAACAAAUUAUAAGAGAUGUGGUUGUAAUACUCAUAUCCAUUAAUUGAAUAAUUGACAUUCCCAAAGGGGGGGGAAGGUUACUUGGACACAAAGACAAGGAAGCACCAACUUCUUGAUCGAAUGGUACCAUUUGUCUGAAUUAUUUUUUUCAUUUGUAUAUAAACUUUCUUGCUGGCUUGUUUAGUGUCGUGGUUAGCAGGGUCAAACAAGGCAAAGAACAAAAUUUCAAUGAUUUUGUAGUUUGUACAAAACCAAACCUUUUCUUGUACAAGUAUAUCACAGUUUUAAUUUUUAUUAAUUAAGAUUUUCAUCUAUUUAUAAUGUCAUAAGCAAGUGACUCGAUUGAUAUAUGUUGACAUUUAAGCCUUACAUAUUACAAGAAACUAGUGUACCUCUAGUAUGCCACAUCAUCAAUUAAACCAAGAAACACGUAUUGUAUUAAUAAAAAACUAGGAGAGGUGACAAAAUCAUUAUACACACAUUCACAAAUUACUGUGAUGUAAACUUAGUAGAUAUAAAAAUUUAUAAAUUCAUAUUUAAAUUGAUUUUUUUUAAGAAAACCUAAGAGUUGGGAAUUCAACUUUACACAACGAUAAUCUUUAUCAAAACAUAAAGACUAUAAGUAAUUGAACCAUCAUUUAAUACCUAUAAAAAACACAAAUAAAAAGUAUAGUAAACACCAUAAAACUUGGUUAAUUCUUGGAUAAGUCAUGGUAGUUCAAUGAAGAACCAAAAAGUAUGAACAAAUCCUCACACACAAUAUUAAUUGUUGAAAUAAAAGUUUGUAAAAAAAAAAAAAACUUAAGUAUAAUCUAAAUAACCAUAUUUAAAAUAGAUAAACAUCCUAAAUAAUUUUGAAAAAAUAGUAAAAGAGUUAUAAAUAAAAUAAAAAAAAUAAUUCUAAAUUAACUAGGAAACUAAUAUAAUUAUUGCACAAUAAUUUCUAGACCUUAUCGCAAGGCCUUUCCAAUGUCUGAUUUCCUAAAUAUUUAAUCCAAUACAAAACAAGAUCUCUGAAAACUUCUUGUAAACUUUCAAACUGAGUCAAUGAUAUGAUAAAAAAAAUAUGCUUGUUGUUGCACAUGUGCGACGUCGUGGCGAAAACAUCCACUCUCAUAUGUUUUUUGUAUUAUCUAAAAAUGUGGAAAAUAUAGGGAGACAAAGAAUUCUUCUCUUUUAUUAGUGGAAAAAUAGAAUAGGAGUCAUCACCUAGUAUUUUGGUCACUAGAAACCCUAAUUAGUCUUAGAGAUCAGGUACAGGGACUGGUUGCGUAAAGGAAAAGUUUUAGCACCCCAAAUACACCAUACCCAAGAUAGGCUGCAUUGUUUAAUUGUCUGAUAAAAUCUAAGGUCUUGUCGUGUUUUCUAGUUGUUAGUCCAUAUAUGGUUUAAAAUAUAAUUUUAAAAUAUUAACCUCAUUCUCGUGACUUUAAUAAACUGGUUAUUAAAGCCAAAAUGCAUGCUAAUAUAAAUUUUAAAUCUUUGUUUUAUGAAAAUAUGAUAUGAUUUUUUUUUUUGAAAGACUAGGCUAUAUGCAUAAAAACUCAUCUUUUCCAUUUUGUAAUGUUUUGACAAAAACCAGGAUAUCUUAAUGCUAGAUUUGCAUCUUUACGGUAUACAAACACAAAUCAAUAUUAAGAAAAAAUCAGUAGAAAAAUCAUAAUUUUUCCAACAUGUUUUUUUUUCUUUGAUUGGAUUGGACCCAACCCAAAAAAAAACUAGGCUGAAAUCAAUCCAAAAUAAAAAUGGAACCUAUUUUCUAUAGGGCUGGACUCAGCCGAACUAUGUGAGUUGGGCUGAUGAUCCAGCCCGCAGUAACUAUGGACUUGUUACUGUAUAUGAACGCAAUAGCCAUUUAAUUAUUUUCUUGCUCGCAGAACGUGUAUAGUGCACACGUUCUGCAUGCAAGAAGAUGACCUGUAAACGGAGAAAAGGGGAAGAAUUACCUGGAUGAUGAACUUGGAUUGAUGAGCUGACGGUGAUGUUAGUGACUGGUUAGGCGGUGGUUGUUGCUGUCGUGGUUGUGGGGGGCAGCUGCUGCGGCGUAAAAGACAUUCGUCCUCUAUUCUUUUUUUCCUUUAUUUUUUUUGUGUUUUUCCUUGUCUUUGCUUCUGCUCCUCUUUGAUUUUAUGUUGUUUUGGUGUCUCUGUCUUUGUUCUUCACGUCUUUGUUCCUCUGCUUUAAUUCAUUUGCUUCUUUCUCUUUCUUUUUCAGUUUCUCACUUCUCUCUUUUCUGUUCUCACCCCUCUGUUUCUCUUUCUGUUUCUCUCAAGUCUACACUCUCUUCUUUGCUUUCUCUCAAUUCAUCGUCCCCUCUUUCUUUUUCUCUAUUCUAUCUCCCUUCAAAAUUUCUGUCAACUUUCCCCUCUCUCUGUUUUCCUUUCCUUUCCCUUCUGUCCCCUCUCCUUUUUUUCCUUUUCUUUCCUCUGUCACCUUACACUCUCCCUCUCUGUCCCGUUUAUUUUUUUUCCUGUGUUUUUCCUCGCUGUCUCGUCCUCCCUCUUUUCUUUUUUUUCCCCUCUGGUGUAGCUAUGCUCGUGCAUUGGCUGGCACUGCUGCUCUUCGUUUCUUUUUUAUUCUCCCUGUCCAGUCUUCUUUUGCUGCUUUUAUAGGUCAGAGAAGGCUUUGUGCUGGUAACGGCUGGCUUGGUAACGGUUUGCAGAGGGAUGACAGCCGUGACACAUGCCCCAUAAUUGAAGAGAAUUGGCAAUGUUGCUUCAAGAAAACGUCUCUCGGCCUUUACUACUGAAACAGCUGGAAGAAGACAGUGAAUAGUGUUUCAAGGCAACGACACCGUUUUUAUAAUUUAAAAUGAUAUUUAUGAUUUGGUCCUUGGAUGUUUUUUACAAUUUUGUAAUCAAGCCCCCGGAUAAAUUAUAAUUCGAUCCCUUGAUUUUAUCGAUUUUUCCUGUUUGGUCCUCGGUUUCAAAUUGUUUCAAUUAAGUCCCUAAUUGACUAUCAAACUUUAAUAAUUAUGCAAUUAAGUCCCUGAUUUGACCAAAUCAACUCUUUAAAAUUACAAUUGGACCCCAGAACUUAAAUUUCUUCCAAUAAAAGCCUAAAUUGACUUAAAAAUUAAUUUUUCUUGCAAUCAAACCCUCUAUAAAUUCAAUUAAACCUUAGAUAAAAUUUAAUUGAGUCGAUAAACAUUUGAUUUUGAAUAUAUUUUUUUAAAAAUUAAAUUUUCUUUGUCAACGAUAAAUUGUUAAAUUUCAAUCUUUUGUAUUUUUGAACCUCUUCAACCAAUUUUUGGUUAUUUUUCGACAUUCUAGCAUCCUUUUCUCGCUCCUAUUAUUUUUUGGAUUUCUUCCGAAUUUUUUUAUUAUUAUUUAUAUAUAUAUAUAUAUAUAUUUGUAUUUUUUUUUAAUUUUUGUGUGGGAACCCAAAAAUAGGUAACAAAACUUGUUAAAGUAAAACCAUAUAGUAGAAAAAAUAAACUCAAAAUCGCUUUUAAUGCUUAACUUAAUUAGCCCACUAUUGCGAAAUAAUUAAGCUCAUAUUGUAGAUGAAUAAUACCCCUCUUGUUGAUAUAUUAGAUUGACUAAGAUCUUAUCAUCACUUGUUGAAAAUGUAGGCUUCUUAAAAUUCACCUUGAUCCAAAUACUUUGAAUAAGCCCAUUGAAUGAACCUUUAAGUUUCUUUGCCCAUAAUCUCGUAAUUGGCCUAGUUGAAACUUGCAAUAGAUAUUUUGAUGGAUCUUUUGGUGUGGUCUUGAUUGUAUUAUCCUCUAUCUCCUUAAAAGAAUUUAUCCAUGAAUCAUCACUUACAUCAAACAAUGAGAGAUCAAAAAUAUUGAAAGUAACACUAAUAUCAGGCUCGUCUGCAUUAUCAUUAAUUCUUUCAAGGAUUUGAAAUGGUCCAUCUCUUCUCAACAUCAACUUAGAUCUACUUUGUUUAGAAAAUCUCUCUUUUUGUAUAUGCAUCCAAACCCAAUUACUUGGUUAAAAAAUAGCUCUUUUGCCUCUUUUUAUUAGCUUUGAAUGCAUAUUGCUCAUUAUAUAUAUUCUGCCUCACAUUCUCAUAAAGAGCCUUUACUACCUGUUUUUUUUUAUUGCUAUCAAUACUAACACUUUCAUUAAUAGGUAAAGGAAAUAAACCCAAAAGGAGUCGAAUGAUUAAAGUUAUACAUAAUUUUAAAAGGAGAAUGAUUAGUAGUAAAAUAUACAUUCCUAUUAUAAACAAAUUCAAUAAAUGACAAGCAAUUUUUCUAAUUUUUCAAAAAAAUUUGAAUGAUAGUUCUUAAAAAUAUAGUUAAAGUUAUAUUAACUAUUUUAGUUUGACCAUCUAUUUAUGAAUGAUAAGUAGUAGAAAAUAAUAAUUUUUUUUUAAUUUACCCGCCCACAAAACCUUCCAAAAAUAGUUAUGAGAUAACAUCAUGAUCAUAUAUAAUGCUCCCAAGCACCCCAUAGAGCUAAACUAUUUUCCAAAAGAAUAAGUUUACUUUGUUAGUUACAUUAUCAGUUUUAUGACAUUAUAUAAAAUAUAUAAUUUUAAAAAACCUAUCUACAAUUACAAAAAUAGAAUCCCUACUCCUUUUUACUUAGACAAACCUAGCACAAAAUUCAUAUAUGUAUCAACCAAAGGUUUAUUAGACAAUAGUAAAGGAGUAUAUAAAUCAUAAGGUAAAAUUUUAGACGUAGUGUAUCUAUAUGUUUAUACAUCUAUCACAAAUUCCUUACACAUCUCUUUUCAUCUUAAACCAAUAAAAAUUCUCAUGCAAAAUAUCUAAAGUCUUAACAACCUCAAAGUGUCUCAUUAAUUCGUCCCCAUGAACUCCACAAAAUAGUAAUUCAUGCAUAGAAUAAUUAAACACACACAAUCUUUUAUCCGUCCCCAUGAACUCCACAAACUAGUAAUUCAUGCAUAGAAUAAUUAAACACACACAAUCUUUUUUCCACGUAAAAGGCAUACAUUUUCAAGUUAGCAUAUAAACAUUCUUUUUGCAAAACAACCAAUACAUUUCUUAAAUGUUUAACAUGCUCCUUUAUAUUAUUGCUAUAAAUCAAAACAUCAUAAAAAUAAACCACAAAAAAACUUACAUAUAAAAUUGCGCAAAACAUUGUUCAUUAAUCUUAUUUAAGUGCUAUUUUUUUCUUACUAAUAUUAAUAAUUGUACUCAUUAUACAUGAAAGCUUUGAUGCAUCACAAAUUUGACUCUUUUCAUUUUUCUCAUUGCCUUUUAUUAUAUGGUCAAAACUCAAUUUAAUCAUAUUAUUAAGCAAAUUAAAUGUAACAAUGGACAUGAAUUGACUUAACAAUAUGGAAUUUUUUUUUAAAAUAAUCAUGGCAUACUGCAUCAGUUAUCAUAUAUUUAUAUUUCACAAUAAAAUAAGAUUGUUGAAUGUACAUAUCAAUAUCUUUUAAAAAUAACUUGAUUUUUAUUUUUUAUUUGGUUUACCUAUAUGCAAUAAUUUUAUUUUUUUAAAUAAUCAUGGCAUACUGCAUCAAUUAUCAUAUAUUUAUACUCCACAAUAAAAUAAGAUUGUUGAAUGUAGACAUCAAUAUCUUUUAAAGAUAACAUGAUUUUUAUUUUUUAUCUGGUUUACCUAUAAAAUUUUAAAGAGAAUGUGCUCUUGUUAGGUUUUUGAAUAUCAUAUAUGCGACAGAAACUAUGAAACAAAAUUAUUUGGGGGUCCUUAGGAUCCUGUUAAAUAGUUUUAGAGUUUUUUAAAGGAUUUAUUACCUGAAAAUCUAAUCUUUAUUCAGCUUUGGAUAAUUCUUUAAAGAUCGAGUUGUCGCAAACUAUAAGCUGUCAGAAACUUGGUCGAAACUCAAAAAAUUUAAGAUUUGAUAUGGGUUGUGAUAAGGUUUGUCCAGCCCAUUUCAUGUGAUUUGUCUCUGGGUAAAUUUCAAUUUGACCCGAGGUUUCUGUUUAUAUACAUUGUCUCUUUUCUCAUUUUUUUUUAAUUUAUUUUAAUCAUCCCUAUAUCUUUUAUUUUUAUUCCAACCAGUCCUCAUAUGUUUUACUUUUAUUCCACUUUUCUCCCCUUACUCAAUUUCAUCCUUUAAAUCUAUGAAAUAUCUUAAUAUCAUCUAAGUAAAAAACAAAAAUGAGAGAGAGAAUUGGAAUUAGCAAAAAUAAAAAUAAAAAACUAAUAGAAAUUUUAUUAAACAGUAUGAUAAAACUUGAGAGAGAUAGUUUUUCAAGAAGUGCUUAAACCCUACCACCAACUUGAAUUCUCACUUAAUAACAUUAUUUUUUUUGUUUUAUCAAUACUAUAUUUAAAUAAAAAUCAAAAUUUAAAUUAACUUAACUAUCUCUUUUUUUUUUUCAUAAAAAAAAGGUUAUUCCAACCAAAAUGUCAAAAACCUAUCACUCAAAACUAUCAUUUUUCAUGUCUAGAAAAAUAACUAGCAUCUUGCCACCAACCCAACUCCUACCAAUUCAAUUUCAAUCAUAACAUAACAUGGCAUCUUUAAUCUAAAACUUGAGUUCAAACAACAAAACUAGAAUUCAUGAUCUAGAUGAACAUGGGGUGCAAGAUUUGUAUUGUGAUUGUGAUUUGGCCAUGAAACCUUCCUUCUUCUAAAAAUGACAUCUAUUACAAAGAAAUCUAGCCCACAUGGUUGUGAACGUUCCCCUCCCUAAGAAAGGACUCUCGAGGCUAAUAAUUUCUCUAAAACAAUACAAAGGAGAAGAAGAUAUAUAUAUAUAUAUAAGCAAUUACAUAAUCAAGAAACAAAAGUAAAUGAAUUAUGAAUUAUGUAUUAUACAACAACUUCCUUAAUCUUUGAUUGGAUUGACAGCUCCUUUUCCAGAUUCUAGCAGAUUGUCUCCAGCCUUGCAAGCGUACCUUUCACUCGGGUUUUUGGACUUCAUUAACCUGCGCUUUGGGUCACUCCUCAUGCCCAAGAACAUGGCAUGGUACUCUGGUUGGUAAGAUCAGCAAACUUGGUCAAACCAACUUUGUACCUAUGGUUUUGAGAGUUAUGUUCAUCAAUGAAUCUCAAAUUGUUCUUAAAGAUUUCAAACCUUUUUGCCUUCUCUCCUAGCCUGUUGUAUGCUUUACCAUGCUUUUGAAGCCAUCAUUUGUAUAUACUCAUUACCUUAUCAUCGCUUCUCUAGCUCAACUGAUCAUGGUUUAGGUGAUUGUUGUCAUGGUUAAAGAUUGACAUGUCCAAGGCAGAUGAUACAGUGAAUAAAAGGAAGAGAAGGGUUGAUAUGGCAAGUGACAUACUUGGUGUUGCUAAAGAAGAAUUAAUACUAGUUGGGGAGAGAAUAAUGGUGAAGGAAGAGAGUUUUUACGAAGAGGAGGGAGUUCUGCGAGUUUAUAAAGGCAAGGAAAUUAAUGAUCUUGAUCUUGAUCAUGAUAAUCCAAGUUUGGUCCUUAUUUCGAAAUGAAACCAUGUCUCGUAGAGAUAGGAGUAAGAUGACGCCUUAGGGCUGUUUCGUGGGUCAUUUUUUGUCACUAGAAAUACAAGACCAAACUGAGUCCUUCGAUUGGCAAUUACAAGUAGUGUUUGUUAGUUUUCUCUACCCUAAAAAUUAGUUAGAGAAAUUCAAGUUUAUUUUGUCAUCGCAAAUUAUGUUUUUUUUUAUUAUUAAUUUGAGUGUCCAAACCAGCUUGCACCACCUUAACUAAUAUUACAGGCCUUGAAGUUAACGACCAUGUAAGGUUCCAGUAUCCUUGAGAUUUAUAAGAUUUGAACUGAUGAUCUCUAGAAACCGAACUCAGCCCAAAAUUUUUGAACUAUAGACAUGGAAUCUUGACCAUUCCUUGGUAGUGUAGGUCAAGAUUAUGUUUCAUAUUGGACAACCAAUUUUAGAUUUGGCUAAAAUCUCCAAGGUUCAUGCCAGAUUUCACUCUUUUUGUAUCAAUCCAGACAAAAUGGGAGAAGUACAUCACAAUCAUCGUCAUCGUGCUUGCAAGAAAUGAAAAAAUUUAUUACAAUGAGGUUCAUUUUUACUGAAUCCAGCAGCUAAACAGACUCUAGAUUCCUAUUUAGAAGAUUAUGUAUGAAAUUUGACGCUUAUCAGAUACAAGAACCUGGUGUUUCUUGGCAGCAGAGGCAAGGAGACUGUGAUGACAUACCUUAUCCAUAGACUAUCAACAAAUCAACCCCAACAUAUAGAAAAGAAAAGGAAAAAAAUAAAAGAACCAAAACAAUGGUGGAUUCAAGAUCCGACGAACAUUUUCAACUGGCCUGGCUUUAAUGAAUUUCUUUUCAGAUGUACUUGCCACCCACCUGGUAAUUAAGAUCGUGUGCCUUUCGCUUUAUCAAUAAAAUAUCUUCAUCCUGAAGGCCAGCAGUGUCAAAUUCACAAGGCAGUAUCUCUGAUGUGUGCUCCAGCUACCAUUUCAGUUUUGUUCAGAAUGCCUUGCAGAAACCCGUGUCUCCACCAACACUGCUUCAUGCUUUCUCUUACUUCUUGAACCGCGUUUUGAUCUGGGUGAUCGAGUCUUUGAAGAACGCUUAGCAGUCUGUUCUUGGUUAAUUGAUAUCUUUUCAUUGGAAGGCAGUUCAGGAGGGGCAUCGGGCCAUGGUGUUCGCUUCGAUGGCACAGUAAUUUCCAAAGGUGGGUCAAUUAUCCACCUGUAAGCAGACAGCAGUAGAGUUAAGCUUCUAGGAAACUAACCCAGUUUCCGAAACUGGUAAGAGAAUACAAUAUGGGGUGAGAAACUAUUUAGCAUUCCCAAGAUUAUAUUCCAUGAUAAAAAAAAAAAGAAGAAAAAAACAAAGGAGCAAACUAGUGGGCACUAACUAAUACCUAGAUGCAGAAGCUUUAGCAACUGUUUGCUUGUGGAGAUUUUGAAAAAACUCAAAUGGUGGGGAUAACUAUAAGGCUACAAAUGAGCACCAAGAAAGGACUACUUAAAUUUUGAAAUCUCUUCAUCCAGUAGCCAAGCACCGUCAUCCUCGUGAAAUGAGCUGAGCUCAUGCAAACACACCAAUGGAUGGGAACAAGCUAGUAUUGAAUGAAAAGGAGCAUUCUUAUUUUAUCAAAACAAAUAAGACAGAUUGCAGCCGGUGGUACAAUAAUCAUCAAAAGUUUUCUAUUGACACGAGGGCAUAAGUGCUUGAGAACUUGGGUAUCAUCACAUAAAGAACUAUUAUCGAUGUUUUAUGUGGGGCUUCAAUUUGAUAUGAGCUGAGAAUAAGGCACCUGAUUCAGCCUUUAUAAUCAAUAUUUAAAGGAGUAAACAGUUGUCGAAGCAAGGUUAGUUAAGUUCCUUCUCUAGCUCAUGGAAAACCCUGUUAGGUUUGUCAAUACCUGAGUUUUGCACACAAAACAUGAGAUAAUAAGAAUUUUAGGAAAGAUAUUCAGCUAAACAACUACAAUUCUCUAGAAUUUUACAGCAAAUCAAAUGCUAGUUAGUUGUGAAGCAAGACUGAAAAUUUCAAAGAACAUGUCGCGCAGCAAAUCAUGACUUGAUAAGAAAAUUAGCAAAUAACUUAGUUAAACAACUACCAUUUCUUUAGGAUUUUACAGCAAAUUAAAUACUAGUUAGUUAUGAAGCAGCCACUGAAGAUUUCAAAGAAUAUGUUGAGAUGUUUGCUCUGCACCAAAGGAAGUGAUGUGUGUGUUGUUGCUGUUGCCAUUAUUGUUAAAAUUGUCUUUAUAAACAUAUUUACUAUAUGUAUAUACAGUCUAGUUACAAAGCUGGCCCCAAACUAAUGUAAUGAUAUCAAUUAUUCUUUCCAUAGGCAAUUUUUGCAAAAAAGGUACUGGUAGGAAUAUAGCUGAUUUCACAAUAUUGGUUGGGUGACAUAUUUACAAUUAGAUCCAUAUAAGUAAACAUGUAACGGGUAAGGUCAGUAAACCAGGUAUGUUGAGCUUGUUUGACAACUAGUAAAAUAAGGUUGACAACGAAGCAUAUACCUCCAAUUAAAUUGGGGACUAUAAAGGGCCAUGUCAGGAUGGCCUCAGCAAUGAAAUUGCAAUGCAAGGCCCAGAAUGGUAUCAGUAAGAGUCUAAGACCAUACUUAGUGACACCCAGCCAGGUAAACACACAUCACUAGGGCCGAAGUAUUUCAUUGGAAAACCUCUAAGUGAGCCCAGGUACCAACAAUCUCUUUCAGUAGCAAUAAAAGAUGAAUGUGAUCCAUUUCUUCAACAUUUAACAAAACAAUCAUUCUAAAGCCUAUACUUCAGACAUCUAGUUGUUCACAUUUUCCAGUAGCCUUGAGUCUAUAUUUUUUCACUAAAAGAUGAAUACUACUCCCUCCCUCUCACAAAGAGUGUCCUGUUUGACUUCACACACAUUUUAAGAAAACUCAAUAAACACAGUUCCAGCUCAUUUUUCCCACAACUGCCCAUUUAUUCUUUCAGUAAGAAAUGGUUAUAUUUGGAACUUUAAGGAGUAUACUAUGAAAAAAGUGAUUGGUUCUUUAACUAGAUAUGUAUUUUGGAAUAACUUAAAAUAGUAUGAUGGACACUCUUUGCCGGACAAAGAGAAUGAUGAAUCAACUACAUUGUGGAUGCACAGAAUUAACCAACUAGAAAAUACAAAAUCCGGACUAUAACAAUAGGGAGUUCAUGAAAUCAUGAAAUAAUUGCAAUAUCGUACUCUAAUGGAACAACGCAUCUAUAAGCAUUAAUUAGUUAAAUUAAACUUGAAUAGAAAUAAACCAACAAAUUGUAAUACCCUAACCCAAAUAUUUUUAGGCUAGAGUAUUUUAAGAACUAAAUUUACAUAUAAUUUUAUCUUGGACUUGGUAUAUAUUUAUAUAUAUAUAUAUAAAAGUAGGCCCGUAUAUUCCUAUAUUUACAUAAAAGAAAAGAUGGAAUCAUAGAGUUUAUUUACCCUAGUUUUACAAACUUUAUAGUCUAGAGAAAACAUAUCCUCAGAGUCACUUGUUCUUCUAUGGGUGCAAAGAAUAUUGAACCAGAUUGACCUUGAAUGAUUGAAGUUCCAUUUUAUUUUUCUUGAUUUCAAGGUAAGAAUAUGAAUCUCUUUUAUUUAUAAAGAUUUUGGAUUGAUUAAGGUUUUUUUUCUAUAUGAAAGGAGCAUAAAAUUAAGAAAUUUAAAUGGUAUUUGUAUGAAUGAUCAAAUAUAACAAAUAUGAUAGAUUUUAUGAUAUUGUAAAAUGGAUUUUCGGCCCAAAAACUAUAUUGAAUAGAUGCAAUUUUUUACCCAAAUUUUAUAGAUAGGAAAAGCUUAUUCUGUCUAGUUUCUAACCAUAAAUGGUGCAUUAAUCCGAUUUUUGUACAAAUAGUUAUGGUAAAAAUAGCAAAGGAAGUGCAGGUUGUCUGACAGCAACCUCGAGGAAUGAUUUUGGGGCUUAUUAUAAAUUCUAUUUAAAGGAAUUAUUUAGUGAAUUAUAUAUGGAUGGAAACAAUUGAGACUAGUUUACAAUCCAAAAGGCAAAUGAAAUUCUAGAUUUUCUAGGAGUUAUGGUCAAUUUGGCCGUGUGUAGUUGACAUUUUAUUAUAAUCAAGUGUUGGAGGGAUUUUAAUGGAUUAUAUGCUCGUGAAUAGGUUGUUAGAGUUGAGAUUUUGUACUUUGGUUGUUUAAGCAAUAGAGGUAAUUAAAUCUUCACACAAUAUAUUAUUUUUAAACAUAAUAAGUAUUUUUCUUAAAUGUGCAUUUCUCCUCUACUAUAUGCAUUACAUUCUUUAAAAAAAAGAUAAAGCACAUGCUAUGUUCAAAUUAAUUUUCUUAUAUGUGAUAUUUGUGAACGCAUGGUUUUGAAUUUUUGUAAGAGUGUUUUAUAAACUACAUCUAUGAAAGAAAGUGUUUUGGAAUGGAAUUGUAAAUGGCUUCAUAAUGAUUCUCAAAUGGCUAUGAAUGAAAUAAUGACCUCUAGUAAGAGGGGUAAUCGACACUAGAACUAGUUUUAAUGUUCCGCCAAUGGGUUAUAAUAAUUAGCAAUGACCCUUGCCCACGGGUUACAAUAGUGGUUAGUAAUAGUCGACUAAUGGCCUGAUCACAGGUAUAAUAUGGCGGUAGUAAUUUGAUCUGAGAGUAAAGUCAUGUUUAUGGAAUUGAAUGCCAAGUAAAAGCAUGUAUUGAUGACUUGUUUUAUGGCAUGUUUUAUGAACCAUGAACUAUUAACUUUUUUUUUUAAUUAUUUUAAGUUGUUGUUUCAUUAUUGUCAAUCAUGUGUGUGUGUAUGUUACUUUCUAAAUUGUUGUUAGCUUACCCCCUUCAUUUCCCUCUCUAGACAGGUAGAUGAUUAAAGUGAGGUGCUAGAGAGUUUUGAGCUAUGGAGUUUACAUUGCUAAUUUAAGUUGUUAGCUGAGCUGUAGGAUUUUUGUUUAAUGAUGGAUAUAUUUUAACUUCUUGUUAGACAUUCAUUGUUAAUAGUUUUAAAGACUUGUAAUAGGAUUUAUUUUUUAAAGUACUUUCUCUUUAGUAGGAUUUUAUCAUGUUUAAGACUUAAUAUUGUUCAGUGAUCAUUUUGAAAUGAAGAUAUUUAAGACUUUUUGGUUUAGCAUUUGUGGUUUUUGGUGAACCUUGUAAAAUUAGCCUUUGUAUUAUCUAGGGUGGAAUGCUAAAUGAUACAAGCAUGUCUAUGCUAAAUUUUAGGGGUGUGACACAAAUAGCAGCAUGCCUAAAAUGGCUCGUCAACAUUUUGGUUCAUCAACACAAUUGACACAAUACCGAGGAGAAUUUUUCAGCAAGGAGCCAUUCUACUUUUCUGUUUUCUUUUUUCCUGCUACACAAUGUCAUAUACUAGCACAGGUCAAAGAACCAAAAACAGCCUGCCUAAGAUGCAUAAGUUCAAGGCAUGUCAGCAGUUGUUGUGGGGGAUGAGUCCCAAAUCAUCAAUAUUUCAAAACAUCCCUGCCUACCUGAAGUAGUAGAAGGAUAUGUUCCAUUUAUAAUUAUGUUUCAAUACAAUGUCACGGGUUGGGUGGCAUAAAUUGGCAGACAAGUUACUUUACAGAAUUUCUUUAGGUUUCUCUUUCUUUUCUUCUUUAAUUUUUUUUUGGAAACUAUCCUUACUAGCUAUGACACUUGAGGUGUAACUUGUUGACUAGCUGUAGCCCAAAAUUACACAGGAGCAGCACAAUAGAAGUUCACACAAAAAUUCUAAUGUACGCCCUCCUAUGAUUUAACUUCCUGGACCUCACUGUCUACAAAUUUGUGAAAGUAGACACUGAACAAUUAAAAUGAAUAGACAAUGCUAAAGAUAACCGCAAACGUUUUCCAAUUGAUAUUAUCUAGUCAAGACAGGCAGCCCAUCGCAAUACUGAAAAAACCGGUAAUACAAAGAAUAAGAAAAACUCACCCUGGAGGGAAUUUGCUAUCAGCACGAGCCUCAACACGGAGCCACCAGAGCAAAACUUGUCGCCCACAGCUCCCAAGUGGCUCCACCAUGGAAGGAUCCUUCAGCAGAGCUAAAGGAUUCUCUAUAUUCUCAUCAACCAAAUCCAUAUCCUUAGCCCAUUCUGGUUUAUCUUCAGCUUCCUUCCAAAGAAGCCUCGAAUUCAACACAAACCCAGCCCACUCCAGCUUCCUAGGCAACACCGUAGCCCUAUCAUCAAUAUAUACCGCACUCUUCCCCUCAUACGGCAACGAAUUAAACGUAUGCCAACCAACCAAUUUGUUUGAAGCAUUACAAGCCGGACCCUGAACAGGCACUACUGGAUUACGCAAAUUUUCUUCCGCCUCCUUGUCAACCAUAGCAGCAGCAGUUAAUAACGUCUCAUCAGCACCACCUGAAUGAACAAGAAUCCCAACUGAAACCGCACCAAACCACUUCACAUUUUGUAUCUCGUCAAACAGCUCCAUACUGUGCAUGUUACUAUCAUCCGCAAACAUCACUAUUCCAUCCAUCUUCUCCUCUCUCACAACUCUGUUCCACAGCAACCAAAAUUUGUUGUGUGUGGUCCCGCACCAUGUGAUGGUGGGACCACCACAUUAAUUGGCAAGAGACUUUGUUGUCUCUUAAUUAAAAGCUGGAGCUGCCACUGUAGAGGCAGUAGCAAAAAUUAAAACAAGAGAGAAGAGAAAACCGAGAGAAAAAGAGAAGAAGAGGCAGCAGAGCAGUCCGUGCUCUUCCUUCGAUUCCCAGCUCGUUUACCGUUGGAUCGGGCUGAAAUUUUGACAGCAGCUUCUAGACGCGUUUCACUUCAUUCUGGACGGUUGGAUUGAAGAUUGGUGGCGUGGAAGCUGGCCGUUUUGACAGAAAACGGGGCUGUCAGUUUGUGAGUUUUUUCUCCAAUAAUUCUCUUAUAAUCUUGUUGUAAUCCGAGAAUAAGUUGUUCUUGAUGAUAUUAUGUUGUAUCCCUUAGUUGAAUCUGAGGAAGAACAGUUGUGAACCCAUUAUUGUUGAUAGUGGAAGUUUUUAGGUGGACUACGGUCCCGUGGUUUUUCCCGUAUCGGGUUUUCCACGUAAAAAUCUUGGUGUUGAUUUGUGUGAUUUUUGCAUUAUAUUUGGUCAUUGUGUUGAUUCUGUUUUUACUGCACAAAGAGGGAAAUAAUUGGGACUUGUGAAUUGUAUUCCGCUAAAUUGAGGUUCGGUUGUUCCUAGUUUUCCCAACAAGUGGUAUCAGAGCACUGGUUGUGUAGAUUGAAUUUUUGUGCAGUUAAAAUGGAGAAGGAAGAUUCGGGCAUGAUAAAGCUCACUUCCUCAAAUUAUUUUCUAUGGAAAACAAUGAUGGAGGAUCACUUAUAUUGCAAUGAUUUGGCUUUACCGAUUGAAUGUAAAGGAAUAAAGCCUGAUGAAAUGGAUGAUGCAAAAUGGAAUGGACUUAAUAGAAAGGCUACCGCUAAUGUUAGAAAAUGGGUAUCUUCUAAGUCCAUUAAUCACAUUUCUCAAGAACAUGACUGCUAUACAGUUUGGAAGAUGUUGGAAGAAACAUUUGCCAAGGAGAGUGCACAAAACAAGGUUUUUGUAAUUAGAGACCUUGUGAAUUUGAAGUAUAGAGAUGGUGAAGAUGCUUCGGUGCAUAUAAAUGUAUUCCAAGGGUUCUUGAAUCAGCUGUCAUUGAUGAAUCUUGAGUUAGCCGAUGAAAUGCAAGCAUUAAUCCUAUUGAGUUCAUUGCCGGAUAGUUGGGAGACUUUGGUGGUGUCACUUAGCAAUUCUACUCCGAAUGGAAAGAUCACUUUGAAAACAGUGAAGGAUUGUAUCCUCAACGAAGAGAAGAGGAGGAAAGGAAAAGCACUUCCGAGUCUCAUGCACUUGUUACAGAAAGUCGAGGGAGAAGUCCAAGCAGGUUCUCUCACAGCAAGCAAGAUAGAGAAUCCAGCAAUAGAAAAGGCAAAUGGAAGCCAAGAGGAAGAUCUCAGUCAAGGAAGGGUUUCAAGUGUUAUUAUUGUGACAAGCCUGGGCAUAUGCAAAAAGAUUGUAGAAAGUACAAAAGAGAUAAAAAGGGCAAAGAUGAAGACAAGAAUGAAGAGAAUGGUACAGCUGCAGUUGUAUUUGAUGGUGAUGUUGCCAUUGUUUGUGAUGAUGGUUGUGUUAAUCUUGCAUGUCAGGAUACCACCUGGGUUGCAGAUUCAGCAGCUUCUUACCAUGUAACACCUCGACGUGAUUUUUACACAUCCUACACUGCUGGUGACUUUGGUCAAGUUAGGAUGGGAAAUCAAGGGAUGGCUAGUGUUGUGGGCAUUGGAGACAUUUGGUUGGAAACCAAUACUGGGUGCAAGUUGCUACUCAAAGAUGUUAGGCAUGUGCCUGAUAUGCGCCUACAUUUGAUCUCUACAGGUACUCUUGAUGAAGAAGGCUAUUACAAUUUCUUUGGAGAUGGUAAAUGGAAACUCUCCAGAAAUUCCCUAAUUGUUGCUAAAGGGAAAAAGAUGGGUCUCUACAUGUCACAAGCCAAGGUGAUCAAAGGGGAGGUGAAUGCAAUUGAAGAUUGCUCUACUGAUUUAUGGCAUAAACGGCUUGGACAUUUGAGUGAGAAAGGCCUUGGCAUCCUUGCCAAGAAGAACUACCUUCCAUUAAAAGGUAUGAACUUGAACACAUGUACUCAUUGUUUAGUUGGUAAACAACAUAGAGUCGCAUUUCAAAGAUCACUUCACAUAGAAGAUCACAUGUUCUUGAUUUAGUUCAUACUGAUGUUUGCUCUAUGAUUGAUAAGUCUCUUGGAGGUGCAUUGUACUUUGUUAGUUUUAUUGAUGAUCACUCCAGGAAAAUUUGGGCCACUUGUUUGAAAUCCAAAGAUCAGUGCUUGAUGUCUUUAAGGAUUUCCAUGCCAGAGUUGAAAGAGAAACUGGUAGAAAGCUGAAAUGUAUUCGAGCUGACAAUGGUGGUGAAUACAGGGUCCUUUUGAGAAGUAUUGCAGGGAACAUGGUAUCAAAUUGGAGAAGACAGUUCCUAAGACUCCACAGCAGAAUGGAGUGGCUGAGAGAAUGAACAGAACCAUUGUUGAAAGAAUUAGAUGUAUGCUCUCUCAUGCAAAGCUGCCUAAGUCCUUUUGGGGUGAGGCAAUGAAGACUGCAGUUGCCAUGAUCAACCUUUCUCCAUCAGUUCCUCUUGAUUUUGAUGUUCCAAAUAGAGUUUGGAAAGGAAAGGAUGUCUCUUAUGCACACUUGAGAGUGUUUGGAUGCAGAGCAUUCGUACAUGUUCCAAGGGAUGAAAGGUCUAAGCUUGACAGCAAGACAAAACAGUGUAUUUUCUUGGGCUCUGAAGAUGAUGAGUUUGGCUAUAGGUUAUGGGAUCCAAAGGAGAAGAAAAUUGUGAGAAGCAGAGAUGUUAUCUUCUUUGAAGAUCAAACCAUUGAAGACUUUGAACAGAAGGAGAAAACAGAGUCUACUACUUUUAUCCAUCUAAUUCAAAUCCAAUACCUACUCCACAGUUACCUUUGAUGCCUGCUAAUCACGGGGGAUUUGCAAAAUGAUGAUAAUGGUGGUUAUCUUAAUGAGCCAUUAGUUGGUGAUCCUGAAUCAGCUAAUGAUGAUGUUGAUGUUAUUCCUGAACAGGUUAUGCAGGAAGCUCCAGAUGAGCCACAAUUGAGGAGGUCAACUAGACCUCGCCAACCUUCCACCAAAUACUCUCCUCAUGAGUAUGUGUUGGUUACUGAUGGGGGAGAGCCAGAAUGCUUUGAUGAAGCUAUGUCACAUGAGAAGAAAAGUGAGUGGUUGAAAGCAAUGCAAGAAGAGAUGAAAUCCUUGCAUGAAAACCAUACUUUUGAGUUAGUGAAGCUUCCUAAAGGUAAAAGAGCACUCAAGAACAAAUGGGUGUUCAGGCUGAAAAUUGAUGAACAUUGCUCACAGCCAAGGUACAAGGCAAGAUUGGUUGUGAAAGGUUUCGGUCAGAAGAAGGGUAUUGAUUUUGAAGAAAUCUUUUCACCAGUGGUCAAGAUGUCUUCAAUCCGAGUUGUGCUUGGGUUAGCUGCUAGUUUGAAUCUUGAAGUUGAACAGCUUGAUGUGAAAACUGCCUUUCUCCAUGGUGAUUUAGAUGAAGAGAUCUACAUGGAGCAGCCUGAAGGGUUUGAAGCAAAAGGUAAAGAGCAGUUAGUUUGCAGUUGAAAAAGAGCCUAUAUGGUUUAAAGCAAGCUCCAAGACAAUGGUACAAGAAGUUUGAUUCUUUCAUGGUGGAUCAUGGUUAUGACAGGACCACUUCUGAUCAUUGUGUAUUUAUGAAAAGGUUUCCAGAUGGAAACUUUAUUAUUCUCCUGUUGUAUGUGGAUGAUAUGUUGAUUGUUGGCCAUGAUGCUAAGAAGAUUCAGAUGUUAAAGGAAGAGUUAAGCAAGUCUUUUGCAAUGAAAGACUUAGGACCGGCAAAACAGAUUCUUGGCAUGAAGAUCACACGUGACAGGAAGAAGGAGAAACUUUGGCUAUCUCAGGAGAGAUAUGUUCAAAAGGUACUUGAGAGAUUCAACAUGAGCAACUCCAAACCGGUUUGUUCUCCACUUGCAAGCCACUUUAAACUAAGUUCUAAGCAGUGUCCUUCAAGUGAUGAAGAAAGAGAUGAGAUGAAAAAGGUUCCUUAUGCAUCCGCAGUUGGUAGCUUGAUGUAUGCCAUGGUUUGCACAAGGCCGGAUAUAGCUCAUGCAGUUGGUGUGGUUAGUCGGUUCCUCUCCGAUCCUGGUAAAGAACACUGGUCAGCAGUGAAAUGGAUACUCAGGUAUCUCAAAGGUACUUCUAGUUUCAGCCUAUGUUUUGGUAAUAAUAAACCUGUGUUGGAUGGAUACACAGAUGCAGAUAUGGCUGGUGAUGUUGAUUCUAGAAAGUCCACAUCAGGAUACUUGAUGAAGUUUGCAGGGGGAGCAGUCUCAUGGCAAUCAAGGUUGCAAAAAUGUGUUGCAUUAUCCACUACAGAAGCUGAAUAUAUUGCUCUUACUGAAGGGGGCAAAGAGUUGUUGUGGAUGAAGAAGUUCUUACAUGAACUUGGCCUAGUUCAAGAGAACUUUGUGUUGCACUGUGAUAGUCAAAGUGCAAUCCAUCUCAGUAAGCAUCCUACUUUUCACUCUCGAUCAAAGCACAUUGAGGUUAGAUAUCAAUGGAUUCGAGAUGCUAUGGAGAUGAAGUCAUUUGUUGUUGAGAAGAUCCAUACCGAUGACAACGUGUCAGACAUGAUGACCAAACCUCUACCGAGAGAGAAGUUUGAGUUUUGCAAAAGGGAAGCAGGCUUGUCAGAGCCUCCUAAAUUGAAGUUUACAUAUUGAUCGCCAGUAUGGCGAAUUCCUCACAUGGUGCGUGAGGGGGAGAUUUGUUGUGUGUGGUCCCGCACCAUGUGAUGGUGGGACCACCACAUUAAUUGGCAAGAGACUUGUUGUCUCUUAAUUAAAAGCUGGAGCUGCCACUGUAGAGGCAGUAGCAAAAAUUAAAACAAGAGAGAAGAGAAAACCGAGAGAAAAAGAGAAGAAGAGGCAGCAGAGCAGUCCGUGCUCUUCCUUCGAUUCCCAGCUCGUUUACCGUUGGAUCGGGCUGAAAUUUUGACAGCAGCUUCUAGACGCGUUUCUUCAUUCUGGACGGUUGGAUUGAAGAUUGGUGGCGUGGAAGCUGGCCGUUUUGACAGAAAACGGGGCUGUCAGUUUGUGAGUUUUUUCUCCAAUAAUUCUCUUAUAAUCUUGUUGUAAUCCGAGAAUAAGUUGUUCUUGAUGAUAUUAUGUUGUAUCCCUUAGUUGAAUCUGAGGAAGAACAGUUGUGAACCCAUUAUUGUUGAUAGUGGAAGUUUUUAGGUGGACUACGGUCCCGUGGUUUUUCCCGUAUCGGGUUUUCCACGUAAAAAUCUUGGUGUUGAUUUGUGUGAUUUUUGCAUUAUAUUUGGUCAUUGUGUUGAUUCUGUUUUUACUGCACAAAGAGGGAAAUAAUUGGGACUUGUGAAUUGUAUUCCGCUAAAUUGAGGUUCGGUUGUUCCUAGUUUUCCCAACAAAAUUUACAUUAAAAUAAAUAAAAUAGUAAAUCCAUUGUUCUUAAUCAGCAAUUCAGUUCACUUUAAAGUUGACUGCGAAAAAAAAAAAAAAAAAACUUAACCUCAAAGCGCGAAGCCGCAUUUUAGUCUCCAAUCUGUGCCUUCCUUCCCAAGAAUUCGGCAUUUUCUGAUUAAAUCCAAUAUGAAGAGUCUUAACGCCGGAUUUGGCAAUAAUCAAUGCUGUUUCAUUGGUGACCCCACCGGCCUCCACCACGAUCCAGACGACGUCGUAGGGGAGCAGCAUCAGAGAAUGCAUAACAGCAGUCAUAUGUAACGUCUGGAAAGUCCGCACGUAAGUAGGCGUGACUACGAUAAGACUCCUGGGACUCUUCACACCGAAUUGAUUACUCUGCUCUCUUUGAACUCUCUCUAUUAUCUGAUGCGCUUUUAUUACUUCACUCGGGUUCGGGUGCGGCCAUGGCCGGAUCCGGAUCCCGUGCCGCCCGACAACAACUCUCGAACUCACCGUUUUGUUAAUCACCGGAAGAUCAUUAGCACUAUUGGUUAAGGGAUUGGAAAUGUCGGAUGUUUUGCUGAGAGGGUGAAACGGUGUCGUUACAUAGAGAGUUGUGGUCGUGGAGGUAGAGAAGAGGAAGAAGAAAACGAGACGAGAGAAGCGAAAGCCGAGGACGAGGCUGAUGAGACAACAAAUGCCAAGUAAAAAGAGCCAGAAAAUAGCGGCUGGUGAUUUGAUUGUGUUGUCCGGUGAUGAAUCUAACGGCGCAGAUGAUCCUCUGAAACUGCCGCUUCGGCGGUUGUUGUAGCUCUGCUGUAGCAAGGAGAAUUUCAUUUUUCGUGGCUCUCUUUCUCUCUCUAAAGUGGUAGAGUUUAGCUUAGAGAGAGAAAGUUGAGGAUUUGUGAGAUGAGAAGGAAAGGAGAGGUGUUUGUUGAGUUUGUUUGAAGCUUGCUUAGGUGUGCUUCUAUUUUUAUUUUAUUUUUUUAGGAAGAAGACGAAGUAGAAGAGAGAUUUCUUU
rnacentral:lncRNA from 1 species